GGGAAAGGAGGUGGCAGAGCCGCGUGGCGAGUCCCGAGGGAACCCGGCGGCCCCGCGCGGCGCCGCUCCCCGCGGCGGGCGUCACAGAGCGCGGAGGGCCCGCCCGGAUCCGGGGGGCGGGGGGCGCCAGGCCCGGCCGGCGACUCUCCGCUUGAAUGGGAAGGGACGCGGGAAGAAAGUGACCUUCCGGACCUGGGCUGCCCGGUGCCCGGCCGGGUGUUACUGCUGCCGCCUCCGCUGUGAACGGCAGUGCGGGCACAUAGUAGGUGCGGUAGAACGGUGGCGCCUCACAGAUGCCCACAUCCGAGUCCCGAACCUGUGAACGUGCUGCUGUGCGUGGUAAUGGGGACUUUGCUCAGUGAUUAAGGAUCUUCAGAUGGGAAAAUCAACCUAGGUUAUCCCAGGUAGAUGGAAGCAGAUUAUGAAGAACUAGCAGUUCCAGGAAGAAGAAAUGUGAACUUUAACCUAUUUGAGUGAUAAGUCCUGAGAUGCUACUGAUUUUGGUGACCAGCUGGAUGAUCCACCAGAAACUGAUUAGUAUAUCCUGUCAGAGGAAACUGUGGUGGGUUGUUAAAGUAAUGGAACCAAUGAAUUACACCUCCCAAUGUUUAAAUCCAUGUGUAGGCCUCCUCUCUUAUUUAACUCCUGGUUGGGCCAUAUGAUUUGCUUUGGCCAAUGGAAUGUUAGCAAAUGUAACUCAAGCAAAAGCUUAAAAAGGACUUGUAGGGUCUUCCCUGGUGGCGCAGUGGUUGAGAAUCCAGCUGCCAAUGCAGGGGACAUGAGUUUGAGCCCUGGCCCUGGAAGAUCCCACAUGGCAGGGAGCAACUAAGCCUGUGUACCACAACUACUGAGCCCGUAUGCUGCAACUGCUGAAGCCUGUGAGCGACUAGAGCCCAUGUUCGGCAACGAGAAGCCCACGCACAGCAAUGAAGAGUAACCCCGGCUAGCCACUACUAGAGAAAGCCCACGUGCAGCAAUAAAUAAAUUAAUUAAUUUAAAAAAAAGAAAGAACUUGUAGUAUCACCUCUGAGAUUGUCACGUGAAGAAGCGCAAGCUACCUGUUGGAGGAUAAGAACACAGGGAGCAAAGACAAGCCAUCUCAAUGGAGGUUCUGCAGCCCAAGCAGCUCCAGCUUGUGCACCAGGAGAUCACAGCAUCAUUAGUGACCUGGGCAAGAAGAGCAGAACUGCCUGACUGACCCCAGCCCAACUGCUGACCUACAAAAUCAUAAGCAAAUAAAAUGGUUGUUAUUUGGUGGAAGUUUGUUAUGUAACAGUAGAUAACCGACAUACUGUUUCCCUAAAUUUCAGGUACUAACUUAGAUAAAUUGAAAUUAUCACUUUUUUGUGUUCUACCCUUGUCAAUUCUUUAUCUUGAUACCAGCUAAUUUAAUUUACAGUACUUUCCUUUGUAAUUCUCUUUCUCUUUGAAGAUUAAUACAAAGACACUUCUGCCUGAAAGUCUCCCAAUGUAAAUAUUUUUCCUUACUCAUAAGGAGCCCCAC